rnacentral:rRNA from 1 species
UACGAAGGGGGCUAGCGUUGCUCGGAAUCACUGGGCGUAAAGGGUGCGUAGGUGGGUCUUUAAGUCAGGGGUGAAAUCCUGGAGCUCAACUCCAGAACUGCCUUUGAUACUGAAGAUCUUGAGUUCGGGAGAGGUGAGUGGAACUGCGAGUGUAGAGGUGAAAUUCGUAGAUAUUCGCAAGAACACCAGUGGCGAAGGCGGCUCACUGGCCCGAUACUGACGCUGAGCACGAAAGCGUGGGAGCAACAGG